UCGGUGCGGCAAGUGGUCGCUUGAAAAAGAGGAAAGUCCGAGCUGCUAUAAGACAGGAUUGCGUCUAACGGACGCCGAGGGCAACCUUAGGGAAAGUGCAACAGAAAACAGACUGCCGAUUUUCUUUAUUUUGUGCAAAAUGUUAUUUGAAAUACGCUUAAAUUAACGUCUGAAAUUUAAAAAUUUCACUUUUAAAAGCACAAAUUUAAAUGUGUAUAAAAUAAAGAAAAUCGGCGAUGGUGAAACGGUGAGGUAAGAGCUCACCAGCAUUUUUGGAAACUUAAAUGGCUUUGCAAACCCAAUCUGCAGCAAGAAGUUAUGGUUUUGUCUUAUGAUUUUGAUACUUCGCUGAAAUCGCUUUGCAAAAAGCGAUGUAGAUAAAUGGCCACAAAAACAGAACUCGGCUUACAGCCGCGCCGAAACA
rfam:Campylobacter hominis ATCC BAA-381, complete genome.